GCUCUUUGAGCGUUAACUAUAUCCAUCUACACCUGUGAACUGUUGAUUGACUUCGGUCAAUUACUUUUACAAACAUUGUGUAAUGAACGUCAUGUUAUUAUAACAAAAAUAACUUUCAACAACGGAUCUCUUGGCUCUCGCAUCGAUGAAGAACGCAGCGAAAUGCGAUAAGUAAUGUGAAUUGCAGAAUUCAGUGAAUCAUCGAAUCUUUGAACGCAACUUGCGCUCUCUGGUAUUCCGGAGAGCAUGCCUGUUUGAGUAUCAUGAAAUCUCAACCAUUAGGGUUUCUUAAUGGCUUGGAUUUGGGCGCUGCCACUUGCCUGGCUCGCCUUAAAAGAGUUAGCGUAUUAACUUGUCGAUCUGGCGUAAUAAGUUUCGCUGGUGUAGACUUGAGAAGUGCGCUUCUAAUCGUCUUCGGACAAUUCUUGAACUCUGGUCUCAAAUCAGGUAGGACUACCCGCUGAACUUAAGCAUAUCAAUAA
rnacentral:rRNA from 1 species